UGGCGAACGGGUGAGUAACACGUGAGUAACCUGCCCUUGACUCUGGGAUAAGCACUGGAAACGGUGUCUAAUACCGGAUACGAGCCUCCUCCGCAUGGUGAGGGGCUGGAAAGAAUUUCGGUCAAGGAUGGACUCGCGGCCUAUCAGCUAGUUGGUGAGGUAACGGCCCACCAAGGCGACGACGGGUAGCCGGCCUGAGAGGGUGACCGGCCACACUGGGACUGAGACACGGCCCAGACUCCUACGGGAGGCAGCAGUGGGGAAUAUUGCACAAUGGGCGCAAGCCUGAUGCAGCAACGCCGCGUGAGGGACGACGGCCUUCGGGUUGUAAACCUCUUUUAGUAGGGAAGAAGCGAAAGUGACGGUACCUGCAGAAAAAGCACCGGCUAACUACGUGCCAGCAGCCGCGGUAAUACGUAGGGUGCAAGCGUUGUCCGGAAUUAUUGGGCGUAAAGAGCUCGUAGGCGGUUUGUCGCGUCUGCUGUGAAAACCCGAGGCUCAACCUCGGGCCUGCAGUGGGUAC
rnacentral:rRNA from 1 species